GACGAACGCUGGCGGCGUGCUUAACACAUGCAAGUCGAACGGAAAGGCCCUGCUUUUGUGGGGUGCUCGAGUGGCGAACGGGUGAGUAACACGUGAGUAACCUGCCCUUGACUUUGGGAUAACUUCAGGAAACUGGGGCUAAUACCGGAUCGGAGCUCCUGCUGCAUGGUGGGGGUUGGAACGUUUCGGCGGUUGGGGAUGGACUCGCGGCUUAUCAGCUUGUUGGUGGGGUAGUGGCUUACCAAGGCUUUGACGGGUAGCCGGCCUGAGAGGGUGGCCGGCCACAUUAGGACUGAGAUACGGCCCAGACUCCUACGGGGGGCAGCAGUGGGGAGUAUUGCACAAUGGGCGGAAGCCUGAUGCAGCAGCGCCGCGUGCGUGAUGACGGCCUUCGGGUUGUAAACCGCUUUCGCCUGUGACGAAGCGUGAGUGACGGUAAUGGGUAAAGAAGCACCGGCUAACUACGUG
rnacentral:rRNA from 1 species